rnacentral:rRNA from 1 species
GAACGCGAAGAACCUUACCAAGUCUUGACAUCCUUUGACCACUCUAGAGAUAGAGCCUUCCCUUCGGGGACAAAGUGACAGGUGGUGCAUGGUUGUCGUCAGCUCGUGUCGUGAGAUGUUGGGUUAAGUCCCGCAACGAGCGCAACCCUUAUUACUAGUUGCCAGCAUUCGGUUGGGCACUCUAGUGAGACUGCCGGUGACAAACCGGAGGAAGGUGGGGAUGACGUCAAAUCAUCAUGCCCCUUAUGACUUGGGCUACACACGUGCUACAAUGGAUGGUACAACGAGCAGCGAACUCGCGAGCUUAAGCAAAUCUCAAAAAUAACGUCUCAGUUCGGAUUGCAGGCUGCAACUCGCCUGCAUGAAGCCGGAAUCGCUAGUAAUCGCAGAUCAGCAUGCUGCGGUGAAUACGUUCCCGGGUCUUGUACACACC